rnacentral:misc_RNA from 1 species
UGCGAAUCUGUUUUCCUCAGUGCAGGCGCUGCUGGAUCGUUGCCCCCUACGUGGUGACCCCGUUCCAGAAAUCGGGAUCGAUGUAUUCGAACAUACGCAUCGACAGUGCGAGCGAGACAACCGGUGGAGAACAAUUGCGACGAUCGGCCAGGCAACAAGAAGCCGGUGAUCAAC